rnacentral:rRNA from 1 species
UGGGGAAUCUUCCGCAAUGGACGAAAGUCUGACGGAGCAACGCCGCGUGAGUGAAGACGGCCUUCGGGUUGUAAAGCUCUGUUAUUCGGGAAGAACGAUUCGUUUGUGAACAAUGAACGGAAGUGACGGUACCGAAAGAGAAAGCCACGGCUAACUACGUUCCAGCAGACGCGGUAAUACGUAGGUGGCAAGCGUUGUCCGGAAUUACUGGGCGUAAAGAGCGCGUAGGCGGUAUGGUAAGGCUGUCUUAGAAGUGCGGGGCUUAACCCCGUGAGGGGAAAGGGAUUGUCAUACUGGAGUCUCGGAGAUGAAAGCGGAAUUCCUAGUGUAGCGGUGAAAUGCGUAGAGAUUAGGAAGAACACCGGUGGCGAAGGCGGCUUUCUGGACGAGGACUGACGCUGAGGCGCGAAAGCGUGGGGAGCGAACAGG